AAUAUUGCACAAUGGAGGAAACUCUGAUGCAGCGACGCCGCGUGAAUGACGAAGGCCUUCGGGUCGUAAAAUUCUGUCCUUGGGGACGAUAAUGACGGUACCCAAGGAGGAAGCCCCGGCUAACUACGUGCCAGCAGCCGCGGUAAUACGUAGGGGGCGAGCGUUGUCCGGAAUUAUUGGGCGUAAAGGGUUCGCAGGCGGUCUUUUAAGUCAGAUGUGAAAGACCACGGCUUAACCGUGGGGUUGCAUUUGAAACUGGAGGGCUUGAGUAUCGGAGAGGGUAGUGGAAUUCCCAGUGUAGCGGUGAUAUGCGUAGAUAUUGGGAGGAACACCAGUGGCGAAGGCGACUACCUGGACGAAAACUGACGCUGAUGCACGAAAGCUAGGGGAGCAAACA
rnacentral:rRNA from 1 species